rnacentral:rRNA from 1 species
UACGUAGGGGGCAAGCGUUGUCCGGAUUGACUGGGCGUAAAGCGCACGCAGGCGGUUGCGCGCGUGGGGUGUGAAAUCUGGCCGCUUAACGGCCAGGCGCCAUCCCAUACGGCGCGACUGGAGUGAUGCAGAGGUCGAUGGAAUUGCCGGUGUAGUGGUGAAAUGCGUAGAGAUCGGCAGGAACACCCAGGGGGGAAACCAGUCGACUGGGCAUCUACUGACGCUGAGGUGCGAGAGCGUGGGGAGCGAAUCGG